CCGCCUCCCGCCCAGGCGCGGCGGCCCCUCGCCGGCUGCAGCAGCGUGGCGUGCGGCCCAGCCCGGCUUCCCCUCCCCGCCGUGUGAGAGCGGCCGGGGCGCAGCGGCCGCCCUCGGCCGGCCUCCUCCCGCCGGCGGAGUCCCCUCCUCCCGCUCCCUUCCCGGCGGCCGCCGAGCCGCCGGCGGCCGAGCUGCUCAGGGCUGGCCGGCGCUGCCCAUGGGGGAGUGCGGAGUGCCCCCCCAGGUCCAGCUCUUCCUCCGCGCCUGCGAGCAGGGCGACUGCGACACCGCCCGGCGCCUCUUGGGGCUGCCCGGCGGCGGCACCGCCGACCCGGCGGCCCCCUCCUCCUGCGGUACCGAGGAGGCGGCGGCGGAGCCCCGCGGCGAACCGUCCGCCCCGCCGGCCCCCGCCGUGCCCGUGGACUGCACGGACGAGGCCGGCAACACGGGGCUGCAGUUCGCCGCGGCGGGGGGCCACGAGCAGCUGGUGCGGUUCCUGCUGCGGAAGGGGGCCUCGGUGCAGAGCAGGAACCACUACGGAUGGAGCCCCCUCAUGCAAGCGGCCAGGUUUGGACACAUAAGUGUGGCUCACAUAUUGCUGGAGAAUGGUGCUGAUCUCAAUGCACAGAAUAAGUUAGGAGCCAGUGUCCUCACAAUGGCCUCCAGAGGUGGCCACGUCAGCAUGGUGAAAUUGUUGCUGGAAUCUGGAGCUUUUGUAGACAAUUAUGAUCAUUUUAGCACAAGUGUGCUUAACAGCAGCAGAGAUGAGCUUCCUGAUAUCACUCCACUAAUGGCAGCUGCUCAGCAUGGACACGAGGCAGUGGUACAUCUGUUAUUAGACUGGGGAGCGGAUUGUAAUUACGCUGUGAAGACUAUGGGUUGGAGUCCUUUAAUGCUGGCCGCUGUUAGUGGAAAGGUGAGCUUGGCACAGCAGUUGAUGGAGAAAGGUGCCAAUCCUGAUCACCUGAAUGUACUACAUAAAACACCUUUUGAAAUCUCUGUUGGCUUCAAACACAAAGACAUGAAGGACUACCUGGAAUCUCUCACAACAAUCAGAUCCCAGACAGAUACAGAAAAGAGGCAACCUGAUGUCUUUCAUGCUUUGAAAUUGGGAAACUUCCAGCUGGUUAAAGAGAUCGUUGAUGAAGACCCAAGUCAGGUCAAUAUUACCAAUGUUGAUGGAGCAUCUCCAUUAAUGAUUGCAGCUGUAACUGGACAGCUGCCCCUUGUUCAGCUCCUUGUUGAGAAAAAUGGUGAUAUUGACAAACAGGAUAAUGUUCAUGGCUGGACAGCACUAAUGCAGGCCACAUACCAUGGAAACAAAAACAUUGUAAAGUAUUUGUUAAAUCAAGGAGCUGACGUCAAUCUUCGUGCCAAAAAUGGAUACACAGCUUUUGACCUGAUAAUGCUGCUGAAUGAUCCAGACACAGAGCUUGUACGGUUACUGGCAUCAGCAUGCAUGCAAGUAGACAAAGACAAGAGUAAGCUGAACAAUAGAUCGUCUUUGCCUUGUUCCAGAAGUAGGCAAUCCUUAAAUGUCCCAAUGUUGCCAGAUGACAAAGGAGGUCUAAAGUCCUGGUGGAGCAGGAUGUCCAAUCGAUUCCGCAAGCUGAAGUUGACUCAGACAUUACGCCAUGGAUUUCCUUCCAAUCAGUUUGCACCUUUUCCUGAUGAGCCUGAACCAUCAUUAAAUUCCACCAUAAAAGCAGUUUCAAAGGGUGAUACGGACACCUCUGCAAACCUUGAUGCUGCUACAGCUUGGAUCACAAAUAACAAAGCUAGCGGUGUAAACACUGCAAAAGGAGGAAAGGAUGAUGAAUUACUGACAACCAUGCUGAGAAGUAGUGCUCCAUUUACCAGGCUGCCCAGUGAUAAACUGAAAGCAGUGAUACCUCCUUUCUUACCACCCUCAAGUUUUGAGCUUUGGAAUUCUGACCGAACACGACUCAGCAAAGAAGGCAAAGGUGAACAGAUGAGAACUGCCUGGCCACAGAGAGCAAUCAAGCAUGAUUUUAACAGCAGUGGGAACUCUGAUGUAACAUCUGUUAGCAAAGUUACUAGACCAGUCAAAUUACCAACAUUUGCAAGAAGACCUGCAUCUCCUUCAAAUUCCAACAACUUCAACCAUUCUCCUCAUUCUUCUGGUGGAUCCAAUAACAUUCCGGGAAUUAACAGGCAUGGAGGAGAACUGCAUAACAGAUCAGGUGGCAGUGCAGAUAACGUUUUGUCUCAGAUUGCAGCCCAAAGAAGAAAAGCAGCAGGCUUACCUGAACAGAAACCCAACCAACAGCAUAGUCCGGUCCAGUCAACUCCUUCAUCCACUCUGUCUGAUUUGCAGUGUGCUCAAAUCGUUGGCAAUGGACAUGUUGUAAAGCAAAAAAUGGAGAUGAACAAAAGACCUCCAUCUGGGACUUCAUCUACGUCUAAAAGCACAUCUCCAACUCUCACACCUUCCCCAUCGCCCUCCCAGUCUCCUAAGGUUCACAACACAGAGUCCUCACUCUUUUCUUCUCACAGACAGGCCAAGAGCAAUGAUUCCAGCAGUGGUACUAUUACAGAAGACGGCAACCACUUGGUGGACCAUCAACAACAGCUUGUCCCUAUUUUGAGAACCAGUGAUGUAGAGAAUCAUGAAAGACGAAACCAUGUGCGAGUAAAAGGAGGAGGCUCUGAAAACUUGGAGAAAGAUGAGCUGACUGGCAUCCUUAAAAAAUUGUCCCUUGAGAAAUAUCAACCUAUUUUCGAGGAACAAGAGGUGGAUAUGGAAGCCUUUCUUACACUUACUGAUGGUGAUCUGAAAGAGCUAGGUAUUAAAACUGAUGGAUCAAGGCAGCAAAUUUUGGCAGCUAUUUCUGAACUGAAUGCAGGAAAGGGACGAGAGAGACAGAUUUUACAAGAAACUAUACACAACUUCCACUCUUCCUUUGAAAGUAGUGUUAGUAACACACGACCUCCAGGUCAUUCCCAGUGUACUGCUAGGUGAGCAGAAGCUGCUAUUUGGGAUUUGAUAACAUGGUGCAGUGAACUGGAAUUACUCAAGAACUGAAGCAGCAUACGGAUGUAACGUGACUCCAAGCAACUUGCUUAGCCUAACGGCUGAACUUAAAGUGUCUUUAAGACUGCAGAGGACAGUAAUGGUGGCACAGAUUUGGGGAGAACAUCCUUUGGUAAGAAUGGAGGCAACAGUUGCUCCUGCUGACCAGUUGACAAGAUGCUUCAAAGAGGUUGCCAUCAGAGAUGUAGCUUUUCAGUUUUUGUGUGUGAGAGCUCCCUGAAAUAAAUUUGGCUGUGAAACAGCAACAGAAGCACUAACUGAGAAGGAAGAGGAAGAGAACAUGUAGGUAAAAGAAGUUUCUACACCAGGUAAGCUGCUUUUUAUUGUAAAAAGUAGCAGUGGGACCCUUAUGCAGUCUCUGGAACUUGAAGUAAUUUCCAGGAAUAUGUAGUAUUUUAGAAUGUAAGAGCAGCUGUACCAAGUCAGAUCCAAGGUCCGUGCAGUUGUGUUCAGCUUUUUCAUCCAGUCUCAUUUGACAAUGGUGUGAAGAGCUCCUUGCUUUCAUUUGCUGUGAACUUGCCAUGUCCUGACUCUUUUGCUUCAUCCUGCUGGAUCAGAAGAUACAGUGGACAGUUGUGCCCUCUUCACUGCCUCCAUGCCACUGGUGAUUUUACAGAUAUCUGUGAUACUCUUCUUCAUUCAUAUUUUUUCCAGAUGGAAGACUUACCGGCUGCUUCAUCAUUCCUUAUACCAUAGUUUUUCUGACCCCUUUUCUACUGUAUUUUUUCUGACUUGUAGAUAGCAGCCUAGAAUACGAUAUUCAAGAGGUAGGCAUACUGUAGAUUUACACAUGACAGUGGUGUUUGUUUUUUAGUUGUGUUCUUUACUUCAAGUUCACUUGCCCUUUCCUAGUUAUUUCUAGUCCUCUGCUUUUUUGGCUAUAACGAGUCUGAAUUCAUAUUAAUUGGAGCUACUUAUAACCCAGCUCAUCUGUUGAGUCUGAGCUCAGAGCCUGUCGUUUUAGAUAACCACUCAUACAUCAUUUUACCCAUAUGCCUGCCUUCAUAUUUAUCUUCAUCAGAUUUUGUCUGUCAUCUUAUUGUUUGGGCACUGAUGUCUCAUGAAGUCCUUUUGCCAGUCAUCUGUUUGCCUUUCUUUUUAUUUACAUGGAUAACAUAGGAAAGUUUGUCACUUCAGUCUAUAUGCCCUUUCAAAAUCGCAUACUGAGUCCUCAUGCAGAUCCCUGUGAAAUGCUAGUGGUGAAUUUCUCUGCUGUGAAAAAAAUCACUGUUUACUCCCACCUUACAUUCUGUGCCUUCCUAACUGAUUAUUUAUCCACACAAGAAAUUUUCUUUUUACCCUGUUGGUUCCUUAUUGUCUUAAGACCCAACCUUGGACCUUGUGAAAUGCCUUGCAAAAAUCCAGGCAUCAGGUGGACCUCUUUUAUCUACAAGACUCUUGUCACCUUCAAGGAAUUCCAGUAGGUUAAGAUACCUUGGACUCCCACAUAAAGAAGGCUUCUGAAAUGGGAACCUUCCCAAGCUUUUCCAUGCACAUGGCUGCUCUAUAAAACCACAAGAAGCUCUUUCUCCUAAAAGGUAGCUACUGGAAAAAAGUGGGGUGUUUUUCUUAUGGUGAACUUCAGCAUCUGGCUGAGUAAAUAGGAGUGUACAAAUGAAAAUUUGAGAAGUUAUUCCCAACUACACCUGUAUAGGACUUUCUGCAGUAGUGUGCUUAGAAUUUGAAUCCUACAAAGAAUCAAGGAAAAUAAUAAAGAGAUUGUUUUUGUAGUUCAACCUAAGUGUUGAAUUGUUCAAGGUGUCAGUGGUCUGGAUUUGAGAAGAACAAAGUCAAAAGAGCAUGAAGAAAGAAUGACUAUAUAAGAAGAUUCAUGUUUUCAUUCUGCUCUUGCCUAUAGAUGAAGAACCCAUAGGAGGCCUACAUGGGCACAGUAAAGAACAACAGAAGCAUGGAAGAAGGCAUGAAAACCACCACAAAUUACGAGAGCUUCUACAUGGAGAAAUCUAUAAAUGGAAUAUGCUUCUAUUGACUAGAUACAGAUAAAGGAGUCCAAAUUGAAAGUGUAAUGCAGGGGUCCUCAAACUGUUUAACCAGGGGGCCGGCGCGCGGAUGCAGUGGCAGGCAGCCAUCUGCGGCUGCUGGGUUUCCCCCCUCAGUCCCUGGCCAGGGGGGUCUGUAAAUACCGAGGGCCAGAUUGAGGACCCUGGGGGGGCCGUAUCCAGCCCACGGGCCGCAGUUUGAGAACCCCUGGUGUAAUGGUUUCAUGAGAAGGAAUAUAAAGGAAAAGUAAUGUUGCAUUCUUCAUUAACCAAAAUACACUAUCUAUUCAGUAUUAAGAGGUUACAACAGCAGUAAAAGUAAAUAUGAAACACCUAUUUGUAAAAAUAGCACUUUAUUUAAGGAAAUGCAUAAUCUGUCACCAAUAUUUAAACAGAAAUAGUGUUAAAAUAUUUUAUAUUGCUGAUUGUUUUGAGAAUAAAACCAUUUAACUGAUA